GGAAAAAGCUUGCUCGGAGAUUGCUGUUUGACAAAAGUGCCAAUGAUGAUCACGAGAGGAGUAUCUUGACAAAAUUGAAGCAGCAAUGUGGGGGGCAGUUUACGUCAAAAAUGGAAGGCAUGGUAACUGAUUUAACACUAGCACGAGACCACCAAACGGGUUUCGAGGAGUAUCUAAACCUUAAUACGCAUGCACAUCCUGGAAUUGACAUGACGGUUACUGUUCUGACAACGGGAUUUUGGCCGAGUUAUAAAUCUUUUGAUCUCAACCUUCCAGCUGAGAUGGUUAAAUGCGUCGAAGUUUUCCGAGAGUUCUAUCAGACCAAAACCAAACACAGAAAGCUUACAUGGAUAUAUUCAUUGGGGACUUGUAAUGUCAUCGGUAAAUUUGAAGCAAAGCCCAUUGAGCUGGUCGUAACGACUUAUCAG
rnacentral:misc_RNA from 1 species